rnacentral:tRNA from 1 species
GGGCCUGUAGGGUAGCUUGGUCAAUCCUUGUGCGUUCGGGACGCAUAGACUCCGGUUCGAAUCCGGGCAGGCCCA